rnacentral:rRNA from 1 species
AUUGAACGCUGGCGGAAUGCUUUACACAUGCAAGUCGAACGGCAGCACGGGUGCUUGCACCUGGUGGCGAGUGGCGAACGGGUGAGUAAUACAUCGGAACGUACCCAGUCGUGGGGGAUAACGUAGCGAAAGUUACGCUAAUACCGCAUACGUCCUGAGAGAGAAAGCGGGGGACCGUAAGGCCUCGCGCGAUCGGAGCGGCCGAUGGCGGAUUAGCUAGUUGGUGGGGUAAAGGCCUACCAAGGCGACGAUCCGUAGCGGGUCUGAGAGGACGGCCCGCCACACUGGAACUGAGACACGGUCCAGACUCCUACGGGAGGCGGCAGUGGGGAAUUUUGGACAAUGGGCGAAAGCCUGAUCCAGCCAUUCCGCGUGAGUGAAGAAGGCCUUCGGGUUGUAAAGCUCUUUCGGCAGGGAAGAAACGGCUUGGGAUAAUACCCCGGGCUAAUGACGGUACCUGAAGAAGAAGCACCGGCUAACUACGUGCCAGCAGCCGCCGUAA